rnacentral:rRNA from 1 species
AUACGGAGGGUGCAAGCGUUAUCGGGAUUCAUUGGGUUUAAAGGGUUCGCAGGCGGCGUAUUAAGUCAGUGGUGAAAUCCCGAGGCUCAACCUCGGAACUGCCAUUGAUACUGGUAUGCUAGAGUAUAGUUGGCGUUGGCGGAAUGUAUCAUGUAGCGGUGAAAUGCUUAGAUAUGAUACAGAACACCGAUCGCGAAGGCAGCUAACGAAACUAUAACUGACGCUCAGGAACGAAAGCGUGGGGAGCGAACAGGAUUAGAAACCCUAGUAGUCC